UGACAGUCGCAGCGGAUAUAGCAAGCCUUGCUGGAGUUCUCGAGUGACGAAUGAGUGAGUAACACGUGAGUUAUCUGCCCUACACGCAGAAAUAUGCCUGAGAAACUGGGUCUAAUAACGGAUAUAACCAACUGACGCAUGGUGGUUGAUGGCGAGCUUUUCUGUCGCUUGAUGGUCCCGCUGCGUAUCAUCUUGUUGGUGGGGUAGUGACCUAUCACGGAGACGACGAUUAGCCGACCAGAGAGGAGGAUCAUCCACACUGCUACUGAUAAGACGCCCACACUCCUACUGCAGGAGGCAGUGGGGAGUAUUGUACCGUGAGGGCCCGCCUGAUGACGCGACGCCGCGUGAGGAAUGACGGCGUUCUGGGUGUAAACCUCUUUCGCCGGGGACGAAGCGUGAGUGACAGAGCAUGUAGAAGAAGCACCACGCAACUAAAGAAGAGAGGCCUCGCUAAUACCUUGCCUGCGAGCGUUGUCAGAAAUAACUGGCCAUCGAGAUCUCGUAGUAUGGAUGUCAAGGCGCCUGUGAAAGUCUGCACCUCAAUUGCGGGCGUGCAGGCGAUACAUGCAGACUUGACUACUAAAGGGGAGACUGUAAUUCCUGGUGUAGCAAUGAAAUGCUCAGAUAUCAGGAGGAACACCGGUAGCCAUGUCGGGUCUCUGGAUAGUAGAUGACGCUGAUAGGCGAAAGUCCUGACAUCAACCGGCAUAAGAUACCCUGGAAAUCCAGAACAGAAACCGUUGGGAACCAAGGUCUGGGAUUCAUUUUUCGCCGGUAUCCGUG
rnacentral:rRNA from 1 species